GGGGGCGAAACGGCUUCGACGGCGGUUAUGACGCCAAAGGUGCAUGUCGAGAGGGUAGUGACUCUCGUAAAACAAUCGCUGCAACUUUUAUAGUUGCCAACGACGAAAACUACGCACUAGCCGCCUAAAACCGGCUUGUCUCGACCGAUCUCUGCCUGUGGGUUGACGUCGAGAGCGCAUGUUCACAGGAUCGCCAGCAACGCCUCGCCCGGGGCCGCGCGGUUAAAACCAAUCGGGAUCGCUUGCGGCACCCUGCCCACCGGGUCGCCGACCGGCUAAAUUAAUAGAUGGACCUAAGCAUGUAGAUCCGAUGGUUGAGUGCUGACGGACGCGGGUUCGACUCCCGCCGCCUCCACCA
rnacentral:tmRNA from 1 species